rnacentral:misc_RNA from 1 species
AUUUAAGAUCGGAAAAGUUAGGUGUGGUUUUGACCUACCGGAUGAGUCUAAAAUUAGUCGUUAACCAAAAUUCAAUCUUUGAUACACCUAGAAAACAUAAACUAAGAGAAAAGUUAAAAAAACAGGAACUUUAUUAAAAUAAAUCAUUACAGCAAAGAGUUAGACGUCUUUAAAACAGGAACUUGCCCUUCAGAGAAAUCAUCAAUUACUUAAAAACACAAUUUUCAUUGACACAGAUUUAUAUAAUUCAUUAAAUCAAAACAUGGCU